rnacentral:misc_RNA from 1 species
UCUCCGUAGGUGAACCUGCGGAGGGAUCAUUACUGAGUGAGGGUUUAAUCGCCCGAGCUCCAACCCUUUGUGAACCAAACUUGUUGCCUCGGGGGCGACCCUGCCGCUUCGGCGGUGCGGCGCCCCCGGAGGCCAUUAAACACUGCAUCAUUGCGUCGGAGUUAAAGUAAAUUAAACAAAACUUUCAACAACGGAUCUCUUGGUUCCAGCAUCGAUGAAGAACGCAGC